UUAGCAGUGAGGGUCGAACAACAAUCAGGAGAGGAACCUCCAGUGGGACCUCAGCAGACUCAGCCUCAGGGACCUGAGCAGCCUCAGCCUCAGGAACCUCAGCAACCUCAGGGACCUGAGCAGCCUCAGCCUCAGGGACCCCAGCAGCCUCAGCCUCAGGGAUCCCAGCAGCCAUAACUGCAACCUCAAGUGGGACCUCAGCAGCCUCAGCCUCAAGGACCCCAGCAGCCAGGAUUGCAACCUCAAGUUGGUCAGCAGCAGCAACCUGGUGGACCUGGUGGACCUGGUGGUUGGC